rfam:Pristionchus pacificus strain PS312 contig12243, whole genome shotgun sequence.
UCUUCAUUUCCCACACUAACUCACCGGUCAGAAAGGCGAGAGAGCGUGUGAAAUAAAGAGA